rnacentral:rRNA from 1 species
AGAGUUUGAUCCUGGCUCAGGACGAACGCUGGCGGCGCGCCUAACACAUGCAAGUCGAACGGAGCUUAGAGAGCUUGCUUUUUAAGCUUAGUGGCGAACGGGUGAGUAACGCGUGAGUAACCUGCCCUAGAGUGGGGGACAACAGUUGGAAACGACUGCUAAUACCGCAUAAGCCCACGGUACCGCAUGGUACUGAGGGAAAAGGAUUUAUUCGCUUUAGGAUGGACUCGCGUCCAAUUAGCUAGUUGGUGAGGUAACGGCCCACCAAGGCGACGAUUGGUAGCCGGACUGAGAGGUUGAACGGCCACAUUGGGACUGAGACACGGCCCAGACUCCUACGGGAGGCAGCAGUGGGGGAUAUUGCACAAUGGGGGAAACCCUGAUGCAGCGACGCCGCGUGGAGGAAGAAGGUUUUCGGAUUGUAAACUCCUGUCGUUAGGGACGAUAAUGACGGUACCUAACAAGAAAGCACCGGCUAACUACGUGCCAGCAGCCGCGGUAAAACGUAGGGUGCAAGCGUUGUCCGGAAUUACUGGGUGUAAAGGGAGCGCAGGCGGGAAGACAAGUUGGAAGUGAAAACCAUGGGCUCAACCCAUGAAUUGCUUUCAAAACUGUUUUUCUUGAGUAGUGCAGAGGUAGAUGGAAUUCCCGGUGUAGCGGUGGAAUGCGUAGAUAUCGGGAGGAACACCAGUGGCGAAGGCGGUCUACUGGGCACCAACUGACGCUGAGGCUCGAAAGCAUGGGUAGCAAACAGGAUUAGAUACCCUGGUAGUCCAUGCCGUAAACGAUGAUUACUAGGUGUUGGGGGAUUGACCCCCUCAGUGCCGCAGUUAACACAAUAAGUAAUCCACCUGGGGAGUACGACCGCAAGGUUGAAACUCAAAGGAAUUGACGGGGGCCCGCAC